AACUCUUUUUUUGUUGUUCUCCUUUUUUUUUUUUUUUAAUUCUUUCAAAUGUCUGGCUGGUGUUUAACAGCUGAAAACGAACAGGUUUUUCUUCUUGAUUUCGUCAUUGCAUUAGACAUGUUUUUUUGUUUUUUUAACUAGCACUGGUGUCUGCCUUUAUGUCCAGUAACCAAAAUGGGGUGUGAAAGACAAGAGAAUCGUAAUGAUGGUGGCUGGUACACAAAAAAAAAGCCUUUCAGUGUCUCAAUCAAGCCCCGAUUGAAUGUUUAAUUAAUGCGGUGCCAAGCAGAUUCGAUCACGUCUCGAGACGUUGGGCUGCGAGAGAAAGGUCUUCGUUGAACACAUGAGUCAUGUCCGCCCAUUCUUGGGAUUGUUCAACACGACACUCCUACGUGAAAUAAAAACUGCCAUUUUUUUUUAAGGGGAAUGCUCUUGUUUUCAUUGUUGUUGCCCUAUUCCGCCCCGACAACAAUUCCGUUCAUUUUAACCAAAAAGAAAAAAAUUGGCAACAUUCAUCUCGAUUUUUGUUUUGUUUCGUGUGUUUUAUUGUGAAUUCGAAAUGGCGUCCUAGUUAGCCAGUAGGUAGAAAUGGGGGCCAAUCAAUAUUUGUGAAAAGCCCCAGCUGUGCACUGAGCCAGAUCUCAUCAGCGUGUGUUCCUCCCCAAAAUCUCGUGUGUCCGCGUGGGUUGUGUGUGUGUGUGUGUGAGAAAUCCUAUUUGAAGUCGACUGCCUACACCAACAGAGAAACGAUGAAAUUCUUUCAAAAAAAGGAAAAAAAAAAGAGACGACGACUAUAUGCCCGGAAGGUCAUUGGAAAAUGACGGAAAUGGAGAGCUUUGGCCACCAGCUGCUGCUACUCAAUUGUGAACAAGUAGAAGAAAACCUUCUUCUCGAGACGAGGAAAAAAUAAAAAAAUAGCAUGAA